rnacentral:rRNA from 1 species
CCCUUAGAUGUUCUGGGCCGCACGCGCGCUACACUGAUGCAUUCAACGAGUCUAAAACCUGGUCUGAUAGGGCUGGGUAAUCUUUUGAAUGUGCAUCGUGAUUGGGAUAGAUGAUUGCAAUUCUUCAUCUUCAACGAGGAAUGCCUAGUAAGCGCGAGUCAUCAGCUCGCGUUGAUUACGUCCCUGCCCUUUGUACACACCGCCCGUCGCUCCUACCGAUUGAAUGGUCCGGUGAAAUCUUCGGAUUGCUGACCAAGAUCCAGCAAUGGAGCUUGGUUGCGAGAAGUUGAUUAAACCUUAUUAUUUAGAGGAAGGAGAAGUCGUAACA